GCCCCAGUAGCUCAGGUGGAUAGAGCAACGGUUUCCUAAACCGUGGGUCGGACGUUCGAGUCGUCUCUGGGGUA
rnacentral:tRNA from 1 species